AAAUCGCUUGAACCCAGGAGUCGGAGGUUGCAGUGAGCCGAGAUUACACCACUGCACUCCAGCCUGGGUGACAGAG
rnacentral:snRNA from 1 species